GUGAGUAACACGUGAGUAACCUGCCCAUCACUCUGGGAUAAGCGCUGGAAACGGCGUCUAAUACUGGAUACGACCAACCCUUGCAUGGGGUGUUGGUGGAAAGAUUUAUCGGUGGUGGAUGGACUCGCGUCCUAUCAGCUUGUUGGUGGGGUAAUGGCCUACCAAGGCGACGACGGGUAGCCGGCCUGAGAGGGCGACCGGCCACACUGGGACUGAGACACGGCCCAGACUCCUACGGGAGGCAGCAGUGGGGAAUAUUGCACAAUGGGCGAAAGCCUGAUGCAGCGACGCCGCGUGAGGGAUGACGGCCUUCGGGUUGUAAACCUCUUUCAGCAGGGAAGAAGCUUUUGUGACGGUACCUGCAGAAGAAGCACCGGCUAACUACGUGCCAGCAGCCGCGGUAAUACGUAGGGUGCGAGCGUUGUCCGGAAUUAUUGGGCGUAAAGAGCUUGUAGGCGGUUUGUCGCGUCUGCUGUGAAAAUCUGGGGCUUAACCCUGGACGUGCAGUGGGUACGGGCAGACUAGAGUGUGGUAGGGGAGACUGGAAUUCCUGGUGUAGCGGUGGAAUGCGCAGAUAUCAGGAGGAACACCGAUGGCGAAGGCAGGUCUCUGGGCCAUUACUGACGCUGAGAAGCGAAAGCAUGGGGAGCGAACAGGAUUAGAUACCCUGGUAGUCCAUGCCGUAAACGUUGGGCGCUAGGCGUGGGUCUCAUUCCACGAGAUCCGUGUCGAAGCUAACGCAUUAAGCGCCCCGCCUGGGGAGUACGGCCGCAAGGCUAAAACUCAAAGGAAUUGACGGGGGCCCGCACAAGCGGCGGAGCAUGCUGAUUAAUUCGAUGCAACGCGAAGAACCUUACCAAGGCUUGACAUGCACCGGACAGUCCCAGAGAUGGGAUCUUCUUCGGACUGGUGCACAGGUGGUGCAUGGUUGUCGUCAGCUCGUGUCGUGAGAUGUUGGGUUAAGUCCCGCAACGAGCGCAACCCUCGUUCUAUGUUGCCAGCACGUGAUGGUGGGGACUCAUAGGAGACUGCCGGGGUCAACUCGGAGGAAGGUGGGGAUGACGUCAAAUCAUCAUGCCCCUUAUGUCUUGGGCUUCAAGCAUGCUACAAUGGCCGGUACAGAGGGUUGCGAUGCCGUGAGGUGGAGCGAAUCCCAAAAAACCGGUCUCAGUUCGGAUUGGGGUCUGCAAC
rnacentral:rRNA from 1 species